UACGGAGGAUGCGAGCGUUAUCCGGAUUUAUUGGGUUUAAAGGGUGCGUAGGCGGAUCGUUAAGUCAGUGGUCAAAUUGAGGGGCUCAACCCCUUCCCGCCAUUGAAACUGGCGAUCUUGAGUGGAAGAGAAGUAUGCGGAAUGCGUGGUGUAGCGGUGAAAUGCAUAGAUAUCACGCAGAACUCCGAUUGCGAAGGCAGCGUACCGGCGCCCUACUGACGCUGAAGCACGAAGGCGUGGGUAUCGAACAGG
rnacentral:rRNA from 1 species